AACGUGGGUGGCGAGCGUUAUCCGGAUUUACUGGGCGUAAAGCGUGUGCAGGUGGCCUGUUAAGUGGUGUAUGAAAUCGCCCGGCUCAACCGGGCGGGGUUAUGCCAGACUGGCAGGCUAGAGGGUGGGAGAGGGAUGUGGAAUUCCGGGUGUAGUGGUGAAAUGCGUAGAGAUCCGGAGGAACCCCAGAGGCGAAGGCGGCAUCCUGGCCCACGACUGACACUCAGACACGACAGCAUGGGGAGCGAACGGG
rnacentral:rRNA from 1 species